UUUUAACUUAAAUGGUGAAAGUACUUGAGUAGUAAUAGUUAUGUUCUUGAAACUUAAAGAAUUUGGCGGUAUUUUAGUCUAUUUAGAGGAAUCUGUUCCAUAAUCGAUAAUCCGCGUUGAACCUUACUUAAAAUUUUUAAUAUGUAUACCGCUGUUGUUAAGAAUCUUUAUAGAUAGAAAUUUUUUUAAUAUUUUAUUUAAUAAUUUUUCAGGUCAAGGUGCAGUUUGUGUUUAAGAGGUAAUGGAUUACAAUUUUAGAAAAAAUUAUGGAAUAUAAUUGAAAUAUGAAUAUGAAAGUGGAUUUAAUAGUAAUUUUAUAAAGAUUAUUAAAAUGACUGAAGCUCUAGAAUGUGU
rnacentral:rRNA from 1 species